AACGGAGUUAGCCGGUGCUUAUUCGCCGGGUACCGUCAUCAUCACCCCCGGCAAAAGGGCUUUACAACCCGAAGGCCUUCGUCACCCACGCGGCGUCGCUGGAUCAGGGUUGCCCCCAUUGUCCAAGAUUCCCCACUGCUGCCUCCCGUAGGAGUCUGGGCCGUGUCUCAGUCCCAGUGUGGCCGAUCAUCCUCUCAGACCGGCUACCGAUCGUCGCCUUGGUAGGCCGUUACCCCACCAACCAGCUAAUCGGACGCGGGUCCAUCCCAGGGUGGCAAUGCCUUUCGCCUCUCGGCCGUAUCCGGUAUUAGCGGCAGUUUCCCGCCGUUGUCCCGAGCCCCGGGGCAGGUCCCCACGCGUUACUCACCCGUGCGCCACUGACGGACCCGAAAGCCCGCCCGUACGACUUGCAUGUGUUAAGCGCGCCGCCAGCGUUCGUUCUGAGCCAGGAUCAAACUCU
rnacentral:rRNA from 1 species